rnacentral:rRNA from 1 species
GACGAACGCUGGCGGCGUGCCUAACACAUGCAAGUCGAGCGGAGUCAGUAAGAGGAAGUUUUCGGAUGGAAUCUUAUUGAUUUAGCGGCGGACGGGUGAGUAACGCGUGAGCGACCAACCUUGCACAGGGGGAUAACGGACCGAAAGGUUCACUAAUACCGCAGGAGACCACGGUGUUGCAUGAAACAGUGGUCAAAGGAGCAAUCCGUGGCAAGACGGGCUCCCGUCCGAUUAGGUAGUGGGGGGGGUAACGGCCCACCAAGCCUAGCAUCGGUAGCCGACCUGAGAGGGUGAUCGGCCACAUUGGAACUGAGAUACGGUCCAAACUCCUACGGGAGGCAGCAGUGGGGAGUAUUGGGCAAUGGGGGAAAACCUGACCCAGCAACGCCGCGUGAAGGAAGAAGGUUUUCGGAUUGUAAACUUCUGUCCUUGGUGAAGAGAAGAAGACGGUAGCCAAGGAGGAAGCCCCGGCUAACUACGUGCCAGCCGCCGCAGUAA